rnacentral:piRNA from 1 species
UCCCUGUAAGCUAAAUAUUCACUGAUCCUCC